AUAACAACAAUCGCAGCGGCUCAGUUAGUUUUUUACUUUUGAACUGAAAGGUUGGUCGGCCAGCGGCGCCAAAGUAGAGGAAACAGAUGCAAUAGCAAUAGAAAAGUCAGAGGCGACAACUCGGAACGCAGCGAGAGUGACGGCCUCAGUGUGUGUGAAACAAACUUACCCGCCUGCUGAGAUACUACAAGUAAACAUACAAAUUGCUAUAUACAUACAUACAUGCCACCACUGGUCGUCGUAUCGUGGUCGUGUCGUAUCGUCGGCUCGACUGUCGGUCGGUCGUUUGCGCCAUCGUCACCGUCGACCCCGCCGUCGUCAUCACGGUCGACUGUCAGUCAGUCGGUCGGCGAGUGGAUUGGUUGAGCUUGUUGGUUAUUUUCAAAUACAAAUGUCAGCUGUUUCAAGCAACAUGUACUAUAAAAGCGGAACAGUGAAACGCAGAAAAAGAGCAAAUCGCUUAAGUCCAGGACAACAGGAGGAAGAAGCAAGCUGCUAGCAACCGCUACGAAGGAGCAGCAGCAAUAUUUUGAAGAGAGCUGUGCAAAAAAAC